UUGGGAGUGUCCGAGAGGCCUCCCAAUCUCUUUCCGUAUAUUUAGUUCUAGAAAGAGAUUAAUACCACGAUUUAAUUAUUCGAAUAAAUAGUAGAAUAUUUUUACCUUGAAGUAACAAGGUACUCAAGAGCCUUGAGCCAGAGUGGAAAAUUCUGAGCCACUGAUCA
ncrna:unclassified sequences RAGATH-22 RNA